GACGAACGCUGGCGGCGUGCUUAACACAUGCAAGUCGAACGGAAAGGCCCUGCUUUUGUGGGGUGCUUGAUUGGCGCACGGGUGUGUAUCACGUGAGUAAACUGCCCUUGUCUUUGGGAUAACUUUAGGAAACUGGGGAGAGUACCGGAUAUGAGCUCUUGCUGCAUGGUGGGGGUUGGAAAGUUUCGGCGGUUGGGGAUGGACUCGCGGCUUAUCAGCUUGUUGGUGUGGUAGUGGCUUACCAAGGCUUUGACGGGUAGCCUGCCUGAGAGGGUGACCGGCGACAUUGGGACUGAGAUACGGCCCAGACUCCUACGGGAGGCAGCAGGGGGGAAUAUUGCGCAAUGGGCGGAAGCCUGAUGCAGCAACGCCGCGUGCGGGAUAACGGCCUUCGGGUUGUAAACCGCUUUCGCAUGUGACGAAGCGUGAGUGACGGUAAUGGGUAAAGAAGCACCGGCUAACUACGUG
rnacentral:rRNA from 1 species